GUUGGGGUAGCUCAGUCGGUAGAGCAUGAGAUGCUUAAUCUGAGGUUCGUGGGUUCGAGCCCCACUCUGGGCA